rnacentral:rRNA from 1 species
UGAGGAAUAUUGGUCAAUGGGCGCAAGCCUGAACCAGCCAUGCCGCGUGCAGGAUGACGGCCCUACGGGUUGUAAACUGCUUUUAUAUACCAAGAAACCUGUUUACGUG